AAAAAACAAUUCAUCAAUUUUUUCAUGAUACCUAUCGAUAAACUCGUUAAUGGAUUUUUUGUCUAUUUCUAAUCUAAUAUUCUAUGUUAUCGUACGUAAACAUAACGUUAGAUGGAAAAAUUCAUUUGUUUGUCUAUGGUACAGUGACGAGUCGAACGCUAAAUGACGUAACGCGCAUGAGCACCGCGAUAUAUCUACGGUCUUGCCGGUAACGUAUCGCCAUUUUGAGUUCGGUGACUAGCUAUUUGGACACGGGAUCGGUACCGUCCUCGUUUAUUGCAGAUUUCCAAGAAUUCAACUAAGGAUCGGAGAAGAACAGGAGAGAAUAAGAUGGAGAGAAGAUAUCAUCCGCGCUUUGUAAGCCAUCGUAGGAUACUAACGUCGUAUAAAUAAGGAAAUUCGUUUUCACGAGAGAAUGUAAACAGAAUACAGUCGGGCAUUUGGCUUUACAGUUGAGAGACUAGGGGGUUAAACCUCCUCAGAGUAAUACGAUAUCUGGAGGCGACAUAGCCACGAAUUUUCACGAAUAACAUAUAUAUAUAUAUAUAUAUAUAUAUAUAGGGUGUCCAAAAAGGCAUAGGAUGAAACUUAUAUUACGUAUUA